CCUACGGGAGGCAGCAGUGGGGAAUAUUGGGCAAUGGUCGCAAGCCUGACCCAGCAACGCCGCGUGACGGAAGAAGGCUUUCGGGUUGUAAACUUCUUUUAAUAGAGAAGAGCAGAAGACGGUACCUCUUGAAUAAGCCACGGCUAACUACGUGCCAGCAGCCGCGGUCAUACGUAGGUGGCAAGCGUUGUCCGGAUUUACUGGGCGUAAAGCGCUCGUAGGCGGUAUGUCAAGUCAAGUGUGAAAUCCCCGGGCUCAACGUGGGAACUGCAUUUGAUACUGGCAAACUGGAGUGUGGGAGAGGAUAGUGGAAUUCGAGGUGUAGCAGUGAAAUGCGUAGAUAUCUGGAGGAACAUCAGUGGCGAAGGCGACUAUCUGGAACAUAACUGACGCUGAGGAGCGAAAGCGUGGGUAGCAAACAGGAUUAGAUACCCCAGUAGUC
rnacentral:rRNA from 1 species